rnacentral:rRNA from 1 species
GACGAACGCUGGCGGCGUGCUUAACACAUGCAAGUCGAGCGGUAAGGCCCGUUUCGGGGGUACACGAGCGGCGAACGGGUGAGUAACACGUGGGUGACCUGCCCUCAGCUCUGGGAUAAGCCUGGGAAACUGGGUCUAAUACUGGAUAUGACUCCACGGUGCAUGUCGUGGGGUGGAAAGCCUUGUGCGGCUGAGGAUGGGCCCGCGGCCUAUCAGCUUGUUGGUGGGGUGANGGGCCUACCAAGGCGACGACGGGUAGCCGGCCUGAGAGGGCGACCGGCCACACUGGGACUGAGACACGGCCCAGACUCCUACGGGAGGCAGCAGUGGGGAAUCUUGCGCAAUGGGCGAAAGCCUGACGCAG